rnacentral:rRNA from 1 species
GACGAACGCUGGCGGCGUGCUUAACACAUGCAAGUCGAACGCUGAAGCUUGGUGUUUGCACUGGGUGGAUGAGUGUCGAACGGGUGAGUAAUACGUGAGUAACCUGCCCUUGACUCUGGGAUAAGCCUGGGAAACUGGGUCUAAUACUGGAUACGACAUGUCACCGCAUGGUGGUGUGUGGAAAGGGUUUUACUGGUUUUGGAUGGGCUCACGGCCUAUCAGCUUGUUGGUGGGGUAAUGGCUCACCAAGGCGACGACGGGUAGCCGGCCUGAGAGGGUGACCGGCCACACUGGGACUGAGACACGGCCCAGACUCCUACGGGAGGCAGCAGUGGGGAAUAUUGCACAAUGGUCGGAAGCCUGAUGCAGCGACGCCGCGUGAGGGAUGACGGCCUUCGGGUUGUAAACCUCUUUCAGCACGGAAGAAGCGAAAGUGACGGUACGUGCAGAAGAAGCGCCGGCUAACUACGUG